GGCCGCGUGGCCUAAUGGUUAAGGCGUCUGACUUCGAAUCAGAAGUAUGUGGGUUCAAUUCCCAUCGUGGUCG